UGGGGAAUUUUGGACAAUGGGCGAAAGCCUGAUCCAGCAAUGCCGCGUGUGUGAAGAAGGCCUUCGGGUUGUAAAGCACUUUUGUCCGGAAAGAAAUCCUUGGCUCUAAUACAGUCGGGGGAUGACGGUACCGGAAGAAUAAGCACCGGCUAACUACGUGCCAGCAGCCGCGGUGAUACGUAGGGUGCAAGCGUUAAUCGGAAUUACUGGGCGUAAAGCGUGCGCAGGCGGUUUGCUAAGACCAAUGUGAAAUCCCCGGGCUCAACCUGGGAACUGCAUUGGUGACUGGCAGGCUAGAGUAUGGCAGAGGGGGGUAGAAUUCCACGUGUAGCAGUGAAAUGCGUAGAGAUGUGGAGGAAUACCGAUGGCGAAGGCAGCCCCCCUGGGCCAAUACUGACGCUCAUGCACGAAAGCGUGGGGAGCAAACAGGAUUAGAUACCCUGGUAGUCCACGCCCUAAACGAUGUCAACUAGUUGUUGGGGAUUCAUUUCCUUAGUAACGUAGCUAACGCGUGAAGUUGACCGCCUGGGGAGUACGGUCGCAAGAUUAAAACUCAAAGGAAUUGACGGGGUCAUAGCUGUUUCCU
rnacentral:rRNA from 1 species